GGCUCUAAUUUGAUGGGAACUAUGCAAAAAGGUAAAAUUUUGAAAUUUCUUUUCCAGAAAUAUUCAUCAAAAUAUUUUAUCAUCUGAACGCAUGACACACGACAUUCGCGUUUUAUCAAAAAAGUUUCUAAUUAAGUUUUCAAAAUGCUCUAAUUUGAUGAGAAACUUGCUUUAAUUUUGUAUUAUCUUUUUUAUCAUUUGACCAUGUGAAUUUUCUUAAAGAAAUAUUUAAAAUGCUGAAAUUUUAAUGACAUUUAAAAGUGAUAAAAAACUGAUCAAUUUAAUUUUUAGUCUUUCCUUCACAUUUAUGUUAAUAGUCACUUCUUCUUUUUCCUAAACGUCUUUAUGUGGAUCUGAUUAAUCACCUUGCUGAGCAGGACACGCUACUAUGAGGCCUAUAUUAGGUCAGAAAAUGGUGUUGGACUUUACCCUACCAUUCGCCGGGAGGACAGUGAUGACGAAAGAUGCUCAGGAGAGUACGACAGCGGAGACGAGAUUCAUAAAGAUGACAUCAUGCUGACAAGAGAUAGACUCACCAAUAGAGCACAACAUGAUGCAGAAGGAGACUUUGAUCUUGAGGUUUUCAGAGGAAACCACCAGUCUGGAAGUUACUUUGAAGAGGAUCAUCAGCUGACUCACCAAAACAGUAGGCAGUCACCGAAGAGCUGGCUUCUACCCUCACCUCAACCCUCCAACAGACCAACAUUCAAUUUUGAGUAUCUUCGCAGUCGCAGUCAGGAUGAUGCUCAUUACCCUCCAGCCUGCACC